UACGUAGGCAGCAAGCGUUGUUCGGAGUUACUGGGCGUAAAGGGUGCGUAGGCGGCUUUUUAAGUUUGGUGUGAAAUCUCCCGGCUCAACUGGGAGGGUGCGCCGAAUACUGAGAGGCUAGAGUGUGGGAGAGGAAAGUGGAAUUCCUGGUGUAGCGGUGAAAUGCGCAGAUAUCAGGAGGAACACCGGUGGCGAAGGCGGUGGUCUGGGCCGGCACUGACGCUGAGGAGCGAAAGCGUGGGUAGCAAACAGG
rnacentral:rRNA from 1 species